GACUCUCGGCAACGGAUAUCUCGGCUCUCGCAUCGAUGAAGAACGUAGCGAAAUGCGAUACUUGGUGUGAAUUGCAGAAUCCCGUGAACCAUCGAGUCUUUGAACGCAAGUUGCGCCCGAAACCAUUAGGUUGAGGGCACGCCUGCCUGGGUGUCA
rnacentral:rRNA from 1 species